rnacentral:rRNA from 1 species
UGGUGGAGUGAUUUGUCUGGUUAAUUCCGUUAACGAACGAGACUUUGACCUGCUAAAUAGACGCUGUUGCUUACGCCGUAGUCGUGCUUCUUAGAGGAACAUUGCGUGUAUAACGCAAGGAAGUUCAAAGCAAUAACA